rnacentral:rRNA from 1 species
CCUACGGGAGGCAGCAGUAGGGAAUUUUCCGCAAUGGGCGAAAGCCUGACGGAGCAAUACCGCGUGAGGGAUGACGGCCUGUGGGUUGUAAACCUCUUUUCUCAAGGAAGAAGUUCUGACGGUACUUGAGGAAUAAGCAUCGGCUAACUCUGUGCCAGCAGCCGCGGUAAUACAGAGGAUGCAAGCGUUAUCCGGAAUUACUGGGCAUAAAGCGUCUGUAGGUGGUUUGGUAAGUCUGCUGUUAAAGACUAGGGCUCAACCCCAGAAAAGCAGUGGAAACUGCCAGACUUGAGUGUGGUAGAGGUAGAAGGAAUUCCUAGUGUAGCGGUGAAAUGCGUAGAUAUUAGGAAGAACACCAAUGGCGAAGGCAUUCUACUGGACCAUAACUGACACUGAGAGACGACAGCUAGGGGAGCAAAUGGGAUUAGAUACCCCAGUAGUCCUAGCCGUAAACGAUGGAUACUAGAUGUUGCACGUAUUAACCCGUGCAGUAUCGUAGCUAAGGCGUUAAGUAUCCCGCCUGGGAAGUACGCUCGCAAGAGUGAAACUUAAGGAAUUGACGGCUGAGAGNGCGAGACGACGACGAGGAGAG